CCACCAUGCUGGAAGAAAAUAAACAAAUAUCUAUAUCUCUGCAGGGAAUAAGAAACCUUAAGUGAAAAACUGCUCAUCACUCCUCCAGACUUUGGUCAAUCUCACUGGAAGCUUCAUGCAUAAGACUCAAGACAGGACUCUUUUGGAGACCAGAACAACAGAGAGGGACACCAAAAUUACCCAUGUACGAAGACAGAUGGCCCUGUCCCUACCAACACCAGAUUUCUUUACCUUGCCUCCUGAGCUCAGCAUCUCCAGAGCUAGACUCCAAGCCAAGCCAGAGGAAUUUCAUCUCCAAACCAGUUUGGAAAUCUGCAUAUUAUUAGACCCACUACAGUGGCCCACCUAGCGUGGUUUUAUCAUGUUUCUGAGUACAGUCAGCAGAGCUGAUCAAUAAGAUAUAAAAAGAUUAGUAGCUCUAAAAUAUUUUACUUGUUCUCCUAAGUGAUGAUGCAUUUAUUUAGAGUCAUUCUCACUGCAUCCUCGCAAGUUUUGGAACUCCCAUAUGGUCACAUCGAAGUAGUAUCAUUGGCCACAGCAGCUCCAAUGCCAGGUCAUGUGCAGACUAGAGGAGCACAGUCAGCAGCCACUUCACAUCCUCCGGAGCACAGAAAGCAGACCAGACAGAAUUAUCUCCUUGCUGUGGUCAUGUGAAUUUAUCUCCCUUUGAAGUCACAAAAUGUUAAAAUGCAGGUCUGAAAGUUAUCACUUACACCGUAAAAGUCCAUUCCUAAAUUCUCACUUCAAAAGUUACAGCCAGGAGUUCCACUGGUUAAUUUCCUAGGAUCUAAUUAGUAUUCCUUCUUAGCUUUUAACAAUUCAAAGCCCUCUUCAGUUUUAGGGGAUAUCAUCUGUGAUUUUGAAUCAUCAGGAAAAGAAAUAACAAGGGUAGAGAAGGUAAGUCAUUUCUUAUAUUUAUAAUAGCAAUGUUCUGAGAAUUUCACCAUCUUGAAACAGAGUGGGUGUGCAAAUGGAACAUAAUAAAUACAAAGGGCUUAUGAAGAGCA
rnacentral:lncRNA from 1 species